rnacentral:rRNA from 1 species
GACGAACGCUGGCGGCGUGCUUAACACAUGCAAGUCGAACGGAAAGGCCCUGCUUUUGUGGGGUGCUCGAGUGGCGAACGGGUGAGUAGCACGUGAGUAACCUGCCCUUGACUUUGGGAUAACUUCAGGAAACUGGGGCUAAUACCGGAUAGGAGCCCCUGCUGCAUGGUGGGGGUUGGAAAGUUUCGGCGGUUGGGGAUGGACUCGCGGCUUAUCAGCUUGUUGGUGGGGUAGUGGCUUACCAAGGCUUUGACGGGUAGCCGGCCUGAGGGGGUGACCGGCCACAUUGGGACUGAGAUACGGCCCAGACUACUACGGGAGGCAGCAGUGGGGAAUAUUGCACAAUGGGCGGAAGCCUGAUGCAGCAACGCCGCGUGCGGGAUGACGGCCUUCGGGUUGUAAACCGCUUUCGCCUGUGACGAAGCGUGAGUGACGGUAAUGGGUAAAGAAGCACCGGCUAACUACGUG